CUUCCCACUUUCAGGAAAAGUAGGGAGGAUGGCGUUUUCAAAUUUGCGUGUAUUUCUCAACAAAAUAGCCGAUGACAUAGGAUCUGAAGAUCUUGCUAUUUUAAAGUUCCUUUGUGGUGACAAUUUGACCAAAAGAAGGUUAGAAAAUAUAACCACUCCGAGAGAACUGUUUGUAGCCAUCGGUGAGAGAGUCGAAGGCGAAGACGAGCAGCUCGAUUUUCUAAGAAACCUCUUUCAAAACGCCAGUAGAUUUGAUUUAAAACACAAAGUUGAAAGUGUUAUUAGUUCUAGAAAAGCGAAUGAAAAUGGGACCGGUGGACAGUAUGCUCAACAGAAUAAUGUCAAUAACAGGGUGACAGGUAGAGCCCAAUCAACUCUCUAUUCUAAUAACACAGGUCAAAGCUUUGCAUGUAGGUACUAUCCGAAUGAGACACCAGCUCAAACAGGAACCUCUGCUUGGGUUUCACCCACCAUGUCCUCACUAAUGGCAAGGGGAACUCAACAGGCUGGCAAUCAUUUACAGUCACCCAUCAGUAAUUUUAUGACAGGCACAGAUGAAUGUGCCCAUCAAUAUACUCAGCAUCCCAUGGGACCAUUUAAAAGUUAUCCAUUUAAAAGUUAUCCAGCCCAAAGUUAUCCCAUCCAAAGCUAUCCAGUCCAAAGUUAUCCAAUGCAAAGUUAUCCUCAUGGUCCAGAAGAACAAUAUCAACCUUCCAAUAGAAAUGACCAAACUCUUGGGUGUAAUCCAUCUACUGGUAGCCUGCAACAGCAAACUCCUCAACCAGAUUCUGGAGGUAAUAUUGUUGUGGAACAGCCUAAACCACAACCUGCUGUACAACCAAAGCCCAUUGUGUACCCAACUCAAGUCAGUGUCCCAUUUGGCCAACAAGAGCAAUCUUCUGAGAAGACAGCAGGCCAUAAGAACUCUCAAGGUUAUGCUGAAUUUCCUCCAAACAAUCAGGGAACGACUGUGGAUUUAAGAUCCCCUAUGACUUUACAGUUGAGAAAUCCAACUGUGGGUAAUCAAGCACAGCUUGCAGGAUUAAAGUACAGAGAUCAUCCAGAACAAGGGAGCUUAACAGCAUAUUUAGGUGAUAUCAAUUCAGGAGCUUCCAGCACCUUAGUGUCAGGUAGUUUGCUUGGAAGCAAUCAAGACCAACAUGAAGGAAGAGAUAACAUAGACAUUCCGAACCAAGGACAUUCAAAUAUUAAUUCUGGUGAAACUAAUCCAGAAGGUCACACAGAACAAAGAAGUACAAUGAUGAAUUCAGCUGAUGAUAGUUUGGGAACUACCAGCACCUCAGUCUUAGGUAGUUGGCCAGGCAGCAAUCAAGCCCAUCUUGGAGGGAAAGAUGACAAAGGCAAUCCAAAUCAAGGACCUUUAAAUAGAAAUUCUGGUGAAAUUGAUCCAGGAUCUUCAAUGGCCUUAGUUCCUGAUGAUCUAACUUUUAGCAGUCAAGCUCAUAAUGCUGGAAUGGAUAAUUUAAAUCCAGGAAAUGGAAGAGCAGACACCACAAUCAUGGUAAACACUACGAACUCCAAUCAAUUUACAAGCAGUUCAUCUGCAGAGAAAGUUCCAGUUGAGAGUACUGUAUCAGUCAAUUAUGAUACUGAAGUUGCGGUACAUUUACAUCAGAAAUGCCCAGUUGAGAUGAGCUAUAACUGUUUUACAAAAUACUUCAAUCAUCAAAACAGCAAAGUACUGGGUAAAGGAGGCUUUGGAAUUGUCUAUGAAGGUACCAAGAAAUUUCAUGGUCAGAGUGUUGUCAUCAAAGAAGAACACCAGUCUUUAUCUGGACUCCCUCAUGGCGGAGCUCAAUUGCAGAGGGAAAAAAAAGUUGGUUAUAUUAAACAUCCUAAUUUGAUGCCCCUCUAUGCCUUUUGUGAGGAGGAAGGCAAACCAUGCUGUCUGAUGUACCCUAAAAUGCACACUGAUUUACACAAAGCUUUACGAAAGGACUCAAAAGGGUAUCAAAAAUUACCUUUGGACGGUAGACUAAAGAUUGCACUUCAUACGGCCAGGGGACUGCAUUAUUUGCACACAGAAGUGAAAAAUGAGAGAUGUGUAAGGCAGGAGAUUGUACACAUGGAUGUAAAGCCAGGGAAUAUAUUUCUAGAUGAACAAUUUAAUGCACGUCUAGGAGAUGCUGGAAUGGCCCAGGAGUUACCCUUGGAUUACUCUUAUGCAUCUCUCAGCCAGAUUCGUGGAACAAGUGGAUACCUAGAUGCAUUUCUGAAAGAAAGACACUUUAAACCUGUUAAUGACAUUUUCUCAUUUGGAAUAGUGCUCCUAGAACUUUUCACUCAGAACAGUGCUGUUGAAAGAGGUCCACAAAACAAAGAUGUGACCUUGUAUGACAAACUAAAUAAAAAAGGAAUGUUUUCAGAUGUAAACAAAUUAAUGGGCUUGGCACGGAAGGUUGUCUGGCCUGAAAGUGCAGAUGAGAAAAGUUUCACUGAAGAAUUUGCUAAUCUUGCGAUAGACUGUGUUAAACCACCAGAGAACAGAGCAAAACUGUCUGAUGUGUGCAAGAGACUAGAGAACUUACUGCACAGGAAAGGAGUCAGAAAAUCUUCAAAUCCCAAAGAAGGAGCCCAUUGUGUUUCUUGUCUACUAAAUCAUUCAGCGAAGUAUUUGGGAGUGAGGUCACCUAACUGUGACCAAAGGUGUGGCUAUUUUUGUGCAACUUGUUUGAUGCAAGCACGACGGAAUCCUCUGGAAUGUCCAAACCAUGGGCCUGCUGAACCUCCGAUUGGAGGAUCUGACACAUAUGCAGUUCUAGUUUGUGGAAGUGACCCAGACUCACCAAAGACUGCUGCAAUCUUUCAUCAGGAUUUAAUUGGUUUUAAAAGUGUUUUAACAGACAGCCGCAUUGUUGGAGUCAGGAAAGAUCACAUAUCUACUAUUACACCUAGUGCAUCAAGAGGCACAUCACAAUCUGACCUGGUUAAACAAGUUCUACAAGAACUUAAACAGAAGCUUCAAGGAAAGAAAGAUGUGUUUGUGUACUUUUAUUUUUCUGGUCACAGUGAUCAUAAUGGUAACUUGCUCUGUUCUUCAGACAAUGAUUGCUUAACAGUGGAUGAUUUGAAAAACCACCUAACCCUUCUCAAUCCCCAUGUCCGUGAAUUCUUGAUCAUUUUGGAUUGCUGCUUUGCUGAUGGCAAUAUUGCCUCAGAACAUAUUAAGGACGAAAGCUUUCUCGUUCACAAGUCACUUGACUCAGUAAAUGUGGAGGCUCCACCACAUCCUCUUGAGUCACUUUGCAGUGAAUUUCAGGAGGCAAGUGGUGCUGAGAGUUCUUGUGUUAUUGGCAAGAGUCCAAUUUCAAAUGCUGAAGCAGACUUUGCAGAAAGUGAUUUUAGUACUGUAGAUGAAAACGUGAUAAGCAAGGCUCCAGUUAUACCAUCUUUCACCUUUCGUCAGUGGUCUUCUUCAUUAUCUCAACAACAAUCUUAUGCUCAGAUCAGGUCAGGAAGCUUUUUGACACACUACAUAACCUGUGGGUUACGUGGUGCACAUGACUGUAAAUUUAAGGACUGUAAGUUUUGUGGUAAAUUCAAAGCUCAAGCCAAAUCAUUGGGGUAUAUUACUGCUUCAAACUUGGAAGAUUUUGUCUCCAAGCAUGUAGAGGAAGCUGCUGCUAAAGCUGGUGGACGGAGGCAGAGUCCACGCAUACGAUCAAUCCACUCAAAGGAGACAAUACUGGCUUUUUACAAUGAAGAACCAUUGCGUGAUGAGAUGCUGUUCAAAUCAACUUCUGGGUAUACAGAGAGAAUUGUGGUUGAUAAGUACCCUCUUCACCUUUUGGAUUUUCAAAGCAUGGUGUUUUCCAAGGUUCAAGAUCACCUCCCCAUGUGUGCUGAGGCAAAGCACCUUCAGAUUCUCUGUGAUGAUGAAGAAAUUGACAGCACAUCUUAUGUAGACCUAGAAGACUAUCUUAGACAGGGGUAUGACAUUAAAUGUCAGUUAAGGCCAUGCAAUGGUAUUACAAGAGGUCCAGUGGUUGUUGAGAUCCAAACUUACAAGAAUCAGGUUCUGACUCUUCUGAAUUCUCUUCAGAUGUCACGAAAUGAGCAACAGGAUUGUGCUACCUUUGAGAUGAAAACUAUUGAAAAAUCUCUAAAUGCUGAGGAUGUGAGAGAAUGCUGUGAAGACUCCAACCUCAUUGAUCUUAAGGAAAGUUUCGUGGGAAAAUCAAUUGCAGUAAUCCUGACAGAGGCAUCUGUACACCAAGGAGUGUUAGAAAUAAGGGUUUUAGACCAAAGCAUGGAUUGCUGCUUUACAAAACAGGAUUGAACCAUUAAAUGCCAGUACAUGGAAUAUGUGCUGUGGAAGGUUUUAGACAACUUAAGAUUGCACUAAGAUUACUUUUACUUCUUAUUCAUUUAGCUGUAGUUUAAGGAUAAGGUAGACCUUGGGGGGCCAAUUUUUUUGAAAAUUUUCUUUCAUGUUGAACUGUGUUACUAAAAUGUUUUGAUAAAAUUGAAGAACAGCUCCCCAAAAUAUGUCGGCCAACUGUUGGCCGACUGUUCACCGACAGAUGACCAACAGCUCACCAACAGUUCACUGACAGUUGGCCGACAUAAUGAAAACAAAUUCAGAAAUGAGUAAAUAGACUGUUUUAUUUUGGGGAGCUGUUCUUCACUUUUACCAAAUUUUCUUACAAACUGCAUUUAACUACAGUUUGUGAGAAAAUUUUUUGGAAUAUAUUGAAACAUGCCUGGGUUACUUUGCAAAGCAGAUUUUUGAGCUGAAUUCUGUAGCCCACCAAAAUGUGAAGAGAUAGCUAUAAAAUGUCACCCUCAAUGACUCCCAAAGUGUUUUUUCGGGCAAAACAUCCUGGAAUGGUCCUUGAAUUUCAAUCAUGUAAACACUUUCUGAUUUCAGUUACCCAGAGAUCUUUGCUAUCUGUUUGCAUUUAAAACUAGACGGUGAAUGAAGAAAGAUAAAAAGGAGUGAAAGUAUGAACAUUAAGAAUUUAAUUGAAGGUUGGACUCCUUUAAAACUAUGGCUACUCUUGCUGUAACAUGUUUUCUAUAAGUAUUUACAUUAUUUUGUAAUUUAAUAGUCUAGGUUAUCUCCAGUCUGAAAACUAUCUACUUGGUAAUUAAUGUAAAAAUAUUUGAUAAUAAAUUGUCAGUGAUAUUAGAAUGCAUGCUGUAAUAACUGAUAAGUUACACUGCCCAUAAUUUAAUUGCUUUGUGGCUGCUGGUAUAUUUGUUUUUAGAAAACUUGAGUUAAUCUCUUUACCAAGGCUUGAAAUGACAAAGAAAUGCAGUAGACUCUUUCAACUUGUUUCAUCUGUGUAGUUAAUUAAAGCUAAAAAAAGCAGAAAAUUGUCUGCAACCACAGCUUUCAAUUACAGGAAAUUACCCUUCCUUUAGAGACCAAUGCUGAUCAUUUCGCCAACGUGCCAGUUCCCCAACAAACAUUUCGCCAAUGUAUGAGGUUGAUUUGCCAAUGUCUAAUGUCAGUUUGCCAAUGCUUAUAGGUCAGUUCACCGAGACUCACAAUAGUUGUAAUUACAAAUGACCUGGGGAAUAAAACUUUACUUUUGUAUUCACAGGUGUUCAUAGGUUAGUAUUGUUUGAUUAUUGUUUAUUUCACUCUCCCCAUCUAUUAUUUCCUUGACAGCCAAUCAUGUUUGAAAAAGACUUGGAAAACCAUCCAAGGCUUUUACCCAGUAGAGUAUAACCCUACUGUGAAACACUUUUAUUUAACAGCAUAGUUAAGUAGCUAUUGACUCUCAAUAUGUUUGUUUGAUUACAUGUGAAGAACUGCCACAUUCCCCCCUCAAACUUUUGAGGUUUUUUUUUUUUUGUUGGUCAUUAACUUCUGCAAACUUGGUGGCUCCUAAAAGAGUCACUUUUUUGUUGUGGCUUUUUUUUUUUUUUUCCCGUUCUUCAGUUCCCAUGAGUCAGGGCAUUCAGAUGAGCUCAGGUUCUCAGCAGCCGAAUGGCGUUUAUCUCUUUCCUCUCAUACUUGUCCCAGGAUUCGAAGAGCAGUGCCUGGAGGUUUCUGUUUAGCCUCAAAGUAAAAUUUCAUUCCUCUGGUCAUUUGUAAUUACAAUUAUUUUGGAUGUUGGCAAACUGACAUGAUUGUAAGCAUUGGUGAACUGACAUUAGACAUUGGUGAAUUGAUGUCAUGUUAGUAAACUGUUUAUUGGCAAAACGACUGGUUACCUGGCAGACAGAGUGGAAGAGUAUAUCACCAUCCCUGCUUCCUCCCCCCCCCCCAAAAAAAAAAACAACAACAACAAAAACAAACAAAAACAAAAGAAAAAAACCAAAGCCAAAACAACAAAUAUAAAACUGCAUUUACUGUGCAAGGGUCUAAAUGUACUUAAACAAUUCUUUCCUCACAAUUAAGAGUUUUCAGGGUAUUCAUUUAACACAGGAGAUUGGUGGAUUCUUGAUCAGACUCAACAACAACACCGAAACAAUUAUUUGCCUCUAUUUUUAUGGCCUGAGAUAUUUUUAAAAGGGAUCUAGAGCCUUCUCUUGGCAUAAUAUCCCAUUACUUUACACCAUUUUCCCACUUUCCUUAAUGAACACCCUGAGUUGUAUUUAAUUAAACUGAUUUUAAAAAGACAGACAUUAUUGAAGCUGUCUGUAAGAGAAUGACUGUUGAGAGAGAAUUAAUUGCAUUUUCUCCUUGAUAUCUUUCAACUUUCUCUAUUAAAAAGUAAUGUGCAGUUUGUAGCAUAGAAAAUUAAUUUAAUCCUACCAGAACCAAAGUACCUGAAAAAAUUAAUGACAGAAAAUCUUUGCAAGGCUUGCAACUCUUAUUAAUUUUAGUUUCAAUAAAAACACUACUACAGUG
rnacentral:misc_RNA from 1 species